UCAAAAUAGGAUGGUAGCAGUGGAAAUGAUGACGUGGUCAGGUCUGGUUUUAUCUUGAAGAUAAACCCAGAUGGAUUUCCUGAUGCACUGAAUGUGGGUGUAAGAGAAAGAGAGGUGUCCAGGAUGGCUCAAGGUUAAUGGCCUGAAAAUAAACUAACUUCCUUCCAUCAAUACAUAUGUAUUGAGGGAGAGAUAUAGGUUUUCUUUCCUAAGCACCCAGAGAUCCAAGAAGGCACAUGGCAGAGUGAUCGUCGGAGAUUAAACGCCACUGCAGCCUCACCCAAAAGAGAGGCAUUUGCCUGAAGAGCAGAACUCAUGAAAGAUGGAGAGACGGGAGGAGGAACAACGCAGCUAUGAAUCUACUGAACAUAUUCAGUCUUACACGGAGGAGGAAGCUUUCUGAGGAAAGGGCAGGCAGCCUGCACACUCCAGCUGGCGAACUGUUUGCGUGAUCUCUACACCCAAUGUGGGGCUUGAACCCAUGACCACAAGAUCAAGAGUGGGAUGCCUUACCGACUGAACCUCCAAUCUCAGAUGCAUUCCGAGAAAGCACCAUUAUUUGG